GACAAACGCUGGCGGCGUGCUUAACACAUGCAAGUCGAACGGUCUACUUUAGGGUAGGAUAGUGGCGGACGGGUGGGUAACACGUAGUUGACCUGCCUUUGGUGGGGAAUAACUCCUCGAAAGAGGGAGCUAAUACCGCAUGAUCUCUCUGUUGUUGGACAGAGAGGAAAACCUUCGUUCUUGUGAAAGCAAGAGGUAGGGCCGAAAGAGGGGACUGCGGCGGAUUAGCUAGAUGGUAGGGGUAAAAGCCUACCAUGGCGACGAUCCGUAGCUGGUCUGAGAGGACGACCAGCCACACUGGGACUGAGACACGGCCCAGACUCCUACGGGAGGCAGCAGUGA
rnacentral:rRNA from 1 species